GCGAUCUUAGCUCAGUGGGAGAGCGCUACCUUGACACGGUAGAGGUCACAAGUUCAAUCCUUGUAGGUCGCA
rnacentral:tRNA from 1 species